rnacentral:rRNA from 1 species
GGUGUCCUACGGGGCGAAGCAGUAGGGAAUCUUCCACAAUGGGCGAAAGCCUGAUGGAGCAACGCCGCGUGGGUGAAGAAGGUCUUCGGAUCGUAAAACCCUGUUGUUAGAGAAGAAAGUGCGUGAGAGUAACUGUUCACGUUUCGACGGUAUCUAACCAGAAAGCCACGGCUAACUACGUGCCAGCAGCCGCGGUACUACGUAGGUGGCAAGCGUUAUCCGGAUUUAUUGGGCGUAAAGGGAACGCAGGCGGUCUUUUAAGUCUGAUGUGAAAGCCUUCGGCUUAACCGGAGAAGGGCAUUGGA